CGUCGUGGAGUGUGCUGCUUACUGUGAUGUUGGUGAGGCUCAAUCAGAUGACAAUGCUAAUGGAUAGCGUAGCCAUCAGGCUGAGCCGCUCCAAUAUCACAUUCUGUGAUCUCCGCACUCCGAUG